UGAAAAUGAUGUGAAAUAAUAUUUGCUAUCUUAUCAACCAUGCCGACAUCCCACCAAGAUCACUGAUUCA